rnacentral:rRNA from 1 species
UGGGGAAUAUUGCGCAAUGGGCGAAAGCCUGACGCAGCGACGCCGCGUGGAGGAUGAAGGCCUUAGGGUCGUAAACUUCUGUUAAGUGGGAAGAAAUGCCAAACUCUAAUACAGUUUGGAGAUGACGGUACCAUUAGAGAAAGCACCGGCUAACUUCGUGCCAGCAGCCGCGGUAAUACGAAGGGUGCAAGCGUUAUUCGGAAUCAUUGGGCGUAAAGGGUGUGUAGGCGGUAUAUUAAGUCUGUUGUUAAAUUCUCCGGCCUAACCGGAGACCUGCGGUGGAAACUGAUAUGCUAGAGGGUGGAAGAGAGAAGUGGAAUUCUCGGAGUAGCGGUAAAAUGCGUAGAUCUCGAGAGGAACACCAAUGGCGAAGGCAGCUUCUUGGUCCACACCUGACGCUGAAACACGAAAGCGUGGGGAGCAAACAGGAUUAGAUACCCCCGUAGUCC